GCUCUUGUAGCUCAGUUGGUUAGAGCACCCAUUUAGUAAGCGGGAGGUCUUGAGUUCAACUCACAACAAGAGCA
rnacentral:tRNA from 1 species